CCCCCCCCGCGCCCCAGUGAGGAAUAUUGGUCAAUGGGCGAGAGCCUGACCCAGCCAAGUCGCGUGAGGGAGUACUGCCCUCUGGGUUGUAAACUUCUUUUGUCGGGGCGCAAAAGCUGGACGUGUCCGGCUGUGAGAGUACCCGAAGAAAAAGCAUCGGCUAACUCCGUGCCAGCAGCCGCGGUAAUACGGAGGAUGCGAGCGUUAUUCGGAUUUAUUGGGUGUAAAGGGUGCGCAGGCGGAAUUUUAAGUCAGCGGUCAAAUCGUGGGGCUCAACCCCAUCCAGCCGUUGAAACUGGGGAUCUAGAGUGUGCGAGAGGUAUGCGGAAUGCGUGGUGUAGCGGGGAAAUGCAGAGAUAUCACGCAGAACCCCGAUUGCGAAGGCAGCAUACCGGUGCACAACUGACGCUCAGGCACGAAAGCGUGGGUAUCGAACAGGAUUAGAUACCCCAGUAGUC
rnacentral:rRNA from 1 species